rnacentral:rRNA from 1 species
CAGUAGCCGCGGGAAUACAGAGGGUGCGAGCAUUAAUCGGAUUUACUGGGCGUAAAGCGUGCGUAGGCGGCUUUUUAAGUCGGAUGUGAAAUCCCUGAGCUUAACUUAGGAAUUGCAUUCGAUACUGGGAAGCUAGAGUAUGGGAGAGGAUGGUAGAAUUCCAGGUGUAGCGGUGAAAUGCGUAGAGAUCUGGACGAAUACCGAUGGCGAAGGCAGCCAUCUGGCCUAAUACUGACGCUGAGGUACGAAAGCAUGGGGAGCAAACAGGAUUAGAUACCCCCGUAGUCCCUGUCUCUUAUAC